rnacentral:lncRNA from 1 species
UUACCAAGGAGCUAAUUCGUUCAGAACUCGUUGAAAUUGCAAAUGGUGCAGAGUGUUUGGUUUCUUGUCUUUGGGCCAAGAUUUUGGAUACAAAACAUGACAUUAUAUUUGAAAAUUAACUUGGGUUGGAUAAGUGAUUGUUUUAUUUAUUUAUUUAAAUAAGUAUUAAAAUUUUAAUUUGAAUAUUACUUUAUAUAUAUACAGUAAUUUAUUAGGC